AACGAACGCUGGCGGCAUGCCUAACACAUGCAAGUCGAACGAGACCUUCGGGUCUAGUGGCGCACGGGUGCGUAACGCGUGGGAACCUGCCUUUAGGUUCGGAAUAACUCAGAGAAAUUUGAGCUAAUACCGGAUAAUGUCUUCGGACCAAAGAUUUAUCGCCUUUAGAUGGGCCCGCGUUGGAUUAGCUAGUUGGUGGGGUAAAGGCCUACCAAGGCGACGAUCCAUAGCUGGUCUGAGAGGAUGAUCAGCCACACUGGGACUGAGACACGGCCCAGACUCCUACGGGAGGCAGCAGUGGGGAAUAUUGGACAAUGGGCGAAAGCCUGAUCCAGCAAUGCCGCGUGAGUGAUGAAGGCCUUAGGGUUGUAAAGCUCUUUUAC
rnacentral:rRNA from 1 species